rnacentral:rRNA from 1 species
UACGUAGGGGGCGAGCGUUGUCCGGAUUCAUUGGGCGUAAAGAGCUCGUAGGCGGCUUGGCAAGUCGGAUGUGAAAACUCCAGGCUCAACCUGGAGCCGCCAUUCGAUACUGCUAUGGCUAGAGUCCGGUAGGGGAGUGUGGAAUUCCCGGUGUAGCGGUGAAAUGCGCAGAUAUCGGGAGGAACACCGAUGGCGAAGGCAGCACUCUGGGCCGGCACUGACGCUGAGGAGCGAAAGCGUGGGGAGCGAA